ACUGCUCUGAGAGGCGUUACAGGUGUGGCUGCCAUGUCACAUUUGCCUCAGUAGGUGACAGAGAGGAGAAAGGUUAUGUCUACACUGUGUUCUCACCUGUGAACAUUUGAAUGAGUAGUAGCUUGAUGCU
ensembl:snoRNA LOC120099020 small nucleolar RNA SNORA17